GACGAACGCUGGCGGCGUGCCUAAUACAUGCCAGUAGAACGCACAGUUUAUACCGUAGCUUGCUACACCAUACACUGUGAGUUGCGAACGGGUGAGUAACGCGUAGGUAACCUGCCUGGUAGCGGGGGAUAACUAUUGGAAACGAUAGCUAAUACCGCAUAAUAUUGAUUAUUGCAUGAUAAUUGAUUGAAAGAUGCUAUUGCAUCACUACCAGAUGGACCUGCGUUGUAUUAGCUAGUAGGUGAGGUAACGGCUCACCUAGGCGACGAUACAUAGCCGACCUGAGAGGGUGAUCGGCCACACUGGGACUGAGACACGGCCCAGACUCCUACGGGAGGCAGCAGUAGGGAAUCUUCGGCAAUGGACGAAAGUCUGACCGAGCAACGCCGCGGGAGUGAAGAAGGUUUUCGGAUCGUAAAGCUCUGUUGUAAGAGAAGAACGGGUGUGAGAGUGGAAGGUUCACACUGUGACGGUAUCUUACCAGAAAGGGACGGCUAACUACGUG
rnacentral:rRNA from 1 species